GACGAACGCUGGCGGCGUGCUUAACGCAUGCAAGUCGAACGGAAAGGCCUCUUUCGGGGGGUACUCGAGUGGCGAACGGGUGAGUAACACGUGAGUAACCUGCCCUUGACUUUGGGAUAACUUCAGGAAACUGGGGCUAAUACCGGAUAGGAGCUCCUGCUGCAUGGUGGGGGUUGGAAAGUUUCGGCGGUUGGGGAUAGACUCGCGGCUUAUCAGCUUGUUGGUGGGGUAGUGGCUUACCAAGGCUUUGACGGGUAGCCGGCCUGAGAGGGUGACCGGCCACAUUGGGACUGAGAUACGGCCCAGACUCCUACGGGAGGCAGCAGUGGGGAAUAUUGCACAAUGGGUGGAAGCCUGAUGCAGCAACGCCGUGUGCGGGAUGACGGCCUUCGGGUUGUAAACCGCUUUCGCUCAUGACGAAGCUUUGUGUGACGGUAGUGGGUAAAGAAGCACCGGCUAACUACGUG
rnacentral:rRNA from 1 species